rnacentral:rRNA from 1 species
CCUACGGGAGGCAGCAGUGAGGAAUAUUGGUCAAUGGCCGUAAGGCUGAACCAGCCAAGUCGCGUGAAGGAAGAAGGAUCUAUGGUUUGUAAACUUCUUUUAUAGGGGAAUAAAGGUAUCCACGUGUGGAUAUUUGCAUGUACCCUAUGAAUAAGCAUCGGCUAACUCCGUGCCAGCAGCCGCGGUAAUACGGAGGAUGCGAGCGUUAUCCGGAUUUAUUGGGUUUAAAGGGUGCGUAGGUUGUUUUUUAAGUCAGCGGUGAAAGUUUGUGGCUCAACCAUAAAAUUGCCGUUGAAACUGGCGUUCUUGAGUGGGCGAGAAGUAUGCGGAAUGCGUGGUGUAGCGGUGAAAUGCAUAGAUAUCACGCAGAACUCCGAUUGCGAAGGCAGCAUACCGGCGCCCAACUGACGCUGAAGCACGAAAGCGUGGGUAUCGAACAGGAUUAGAUACCCCAGUAGUC